GCCAAAAUAGCUCAGGUGGUAGAGCAUUUCCCUCGUAAUGAAAAGGUCGCGGGUUCGAGUCCCGCUUUUGGCU
rnacentral:tRNA from 1 species